rnacentral:ncRNA from 1 species
AAUAUUAAAGCGCCAGAACUUAAGUUAAGAAAAUGCUUUAAAAUAAGCUAAUAGAACUGAAUUUAAUGAUUUGAGUAAGUUCGACUAACUAAAUCAUAGAUUUAGAGUCUCACUUAAGUUGACGAGGAUGGGGAGUAUCGAGGAUUCGGCGGAUGUCCCACGGUAUUUAUGUACUACCGAUAACAGUUAGCAAAGCUAAAAAGUGAUUUUUAGAACAAAUCUAA